rnacentral:rRNA from 1 species
GACGAACGCUGGCGGCGUGCUUAACACAUGCAAGUCGAACGGAAAAGCCCUGCUUUUGUGGGGUGCUCGAGUGGCGAACGGGUGAGUAACACGUGAGUAACCUGCCCUUGACUUUGGGAUAACUUCAGGAAACUGGGGCUAAUACCGGAUAGGAGCUCCUGCUGCAUGGUGGGGGUUGGAAAGUUUCGGCGGUUGGGGAUGGACUCGCGGCUUAUCAGCUUGUUGGUGGGGUAGUGGCUUACCAAGGCUUCGACGGGUAGCCGGCCUGAGAGGGUGACCGGCCACAUUGGGACUGAGAUACGGCCCAGACUCCUACGGGAGGCAGCAGUGGGGAAUAUUGCACAAUGGGCGGAAGCCUGAUGCAGCAACGCCGCGUGCGGGAUGACGGCCUUCGGGUUGUAAACCGCUUUCGCCUGUGACGAAGCGUGAGUGACGGUAAUGGGUAAAGAAGCACCGGCUAACUACGUG